rnacentral:rRNA from 1 species
CCUACGGGAGGCAGCAGUGAGGAAUAUUGGGCAAUGGACGAAAGUCUGAACGAGCAACGUAGCGUGAAGGAUGAAUGCUCUAUGGGCUGUAAACUUCGUUUAUAUGGGAAUAAAAUGUUCCACGUGUGGGAAUUUGUAUGUACCAUAUGAAUAAGGAAAGGCUAACUCCGUGCCAGCAGCCGAGGUAAUACGGAGGUUACGAGCGUUGUCCGGAUUUAUUGGGUUGAAAGGGAGCGUAGGUGGUUUGUUAAGUCAGUUGUGAAAGUUUGCGGCUCAACCGUAAAAUGGCAGUUGAAACUGGCAGUCUUGAGUACAGUAGAGGUGGGCGGAAUUCGUGGUGUAGCGGUGAAAUGCUUAGAUAUCACGAAGAACUCCGAUUGCGAAGGCAGUUCACUGGACUGCAACUGACGCUGAGGCUCGAAAGUGUGGGUAUCAAACAGGAUUAGAUACCCGAGUAGUC